UGCGCAGGCGGAACUUUAAGUCAGUGGUGAAAUCUUGCCGCUUAACGGUAAAAUUGCCAUUGAUACUGAAGUUCUUGAAUAUGGUUGAGGUAGGCGGAAUGUGUUGUGUAGCGGUGAAAUGCAUAGAUAUGACACAGAACUCCGAUUGCGAAGGCAGCUUACUAAACCAUUAUUGACGCUGAGGUACGAAAGCGUGGGGAGCGAACAGGAUUAGAUACCCUGGUAGUCC
rnacentral:rRNA from 1 species